AAAUAAAACGCGUACUUAAUAUUGUUGUAUAUUUGUUCAUAGGUCUAGAAAGACAACAAGACGUAAGUAGACGCCAUUCAAUCACUCUCCGAGGCACAGCGCCAGACGGCAGCACUUAUCACUUUGGCACAGUUAGUACUAAAAUCAGUGUACACUGCGUAUCGAGAUUCGACAUCAGAUAGUAUUCCGGCAUCCGGAUGUAGCCCCCCUCCCCAGAGACAACUACUGUCCGGGGAAAGUGCUCUGCAACCCUCUGUCAAAUCCGGCCCUGACGUAUGUUAGUACUUCCACAUUUAUGUUUUUAUUUAAACGCUGGUGCCAAGCAUUUUUGCGAAUGCUCCGUUUCCGUUGGCUGACUGGAUGGUCAAAUGGUGGCAGUUUGACGGCCACAUCAUAUACAGCUGUGGCUGCCAGGUUAACACACGAAGAUAACCCGUUUGGGAGCUGUAUAAAAAAUUUACCUGAACAUUUUUAACAUGUUUGAGCGUAUUUAUGAAAACACUUUUGGGCGCAAUACUGUAACUAGUAAUCGAAUGCCGUGUAUAAUCUAAUCUAAUGAGUACUUGAUUGUUUAUCUUGCUGUAGACCAUAUGAUAUUAAUUUUUUGGAAAAUACCGCAUCAAACAUAGCUAUAGAUAUUUAGCUACUAUUACAGAUAAUAUUAUGUUCUGUGUUCGCAGAACAUUUUGUAAGACUUUGAAUUUUAAAUAUUUAUAAAAGAAAAUUGUGUAUCA